rnacentral:rRNA from 1 species
AACACAUGCAAGUCGAACGAUGAACCAGGAGCUUGCUCUGGGGAUUAGUGGCGAACGGGUGAGUAACACGUGAGUAACCUGCCCUGGACUCUGGGAUAACCCCGAGAAAUCGGAGCUAAUACCGGAUAGGACCUGGAACCGCAUGGUUUUGGGUGGAAAGUUUUUUCGGUCUGGGAUGGACUCGCGGCCUAUCAGCUUGUUGGUGAGGUAAUGGCUCACCAAGGCGUCGACGGGUAGCCGGCCUGAGAGGGUGACCGGCCACACUGGGACUGAGACACGGCCCAGACUCCUACGGGAGGCAGCAGUGGGGAAUAUUGUACAAUGGGCGAAAGCCUGAUGCAGCAACGCCGCGUGAGGGAUGACGGCCUUCGGGUUGUAAACCUCUUUUAGUAGGGAAGAAGGGCUUCGGCUUGACGGUACCUGCAGAAAAAGCACCGG